CCCCCCUCAAGAUGAGAUUUCCCAUCGUAAGAGUAAGACCCCUUAGAGACUAUGAGGUAGAUAGGUCGGAGGUGGAAGUGCAGUAAUGCAUGCAGCUGACCGAUACUAAUAGGUCGAGGGCUUAACCUU
rnacentral:rRNA from 1 species